UCCUUGUAGAAAGAGACAACUGUGUUCCUGCCACCCCUGUGAAACUGGUCACGCCAGGGGUCUGAGUAGAUGGUGAUUCAUCUUUUACCUGCCAGGGCUGAAAUGACUAUGCCAGUACCAAUCUGUCCCACAGGGAAUGCUGCUGGCUCAGGAAAACUCAACAAUUAGCCCCUAACUCAGACAUCCUAAGGCUGAACUAUUAUCCAGACAGGGAGAGAGAAGUAUUUAAAAGUGGUCAAGGAGUCCAGGAACAGAGGGUAUGUGCCAGCAUCAAAUUUGCAUUGACCUUCUUCUAAGUCUAGAUUACAUUCCAGCCAAGGAUCCCAGAAUUUCCUGUCCAGCUGUUCUGAGCC